AUACGUAGGGUGCGAGCGUUGUCCGGAAUUACUGGGCGUAAAGAGCUCGUAGGUGGUUUGUCGCGUCGUCUGUGAAAUUCCGGGGCUUAACUCCGGGCGUGCAGGCGAUACGGGCAUAACUUGAGUACUGUAGGGGAGACUGGAAUUCCUGGUGUAGCGGUGAAAUGCGCGGAUAUCAGGAGGAACACCGGUGGCGAAGGCGGGUCUCUGGGAAGUAACUGACGCUGAGGAGCGAAAGCAUGGUUAGCGAACAGGAUUAGAUACCCUGGUAGUCCAGGCCGUAAACGGUGGGCGCUAGGUGUAGGGGUCUUCCACGACUUCUGUGCCGUAGCUAACGCAUUAAGCGCCCCGCCUGGGGAGUACGGCCGCAAGGCUAAAACUCAAAUGAAUUGACGGGG
rnacentral:rRNA from 1 species